UUUUUAAAAACUUAUAAAUAAUUCUAAACACAUACAACACACACGAUAAUAAAAUAAAAUAAAAUAAAAUAUUUUUUUAAAUACCGAAACAAAUAAAAAUACGUGCUACAUUUUCCUUGGACGGAAGAAGAAUUAAUUUUAUUAUUGAAAAAGCACACACACAAUAAACAUGCCACUGUAUUUUUUUUUUAAUUAAUUUUAAUAAAUUCUGUUUUUACUUUUAUUUCUACCAAUCAAACACACCCUAAAAAGUUGGAAAAGAAAGGAAUCACAAGCAAUACUGUGGUAGAAGACAUGGGGAAGUACUUGGAGUUAGAUUAGUGAAACGAAGUCCACAUAUCAAUCUUUGGAAUAAAAAAAAAGGCUACAAAUUGUGAGAGAGAUAAAUUAAAUGAGAUGGAGAACUAAAAGAGACUUCAAAAUCUACAGUUGCCCACAUCUUGGUGUCGACCAAAGAGAAAUCAAUCAACUAUUUUGUAGAGUUAUGUGUCUGAUUUUCAUUGGCUUAAGGUACUAAAUUAUCAGUGUACUAGGUAAGAACUUAUUAUAUGUGGUAUGGUCACAUGGUCACAUGGCCCAGUGGUGGGGUAGGACUGAGUUGUAGUCCUUUAUAUCUCAACUUAUCAUGUCUCCACAAUGUCACAAUGUCAGGUCCAUCCACAUACAAUGCCAAGAUAUAUUAUUGCAAAGACUACUUGCAAUUGCAAAUAUAAAUAUUCAAAUUCUUUCUUCAUUUUGAUCAUUCCAAAACCCACUUAUGACCUCAAAAAAAGCUUCUGCUUUUUUUAAUUUCUUUAUCUUGUUAUAUAGAGUCCAAUCAAAAUACAGUAAGCUGGAUGCCAAGAGAUCGCGCAGCCAUUUUCUUAAUUUUUCGAUCGACAACCUCUUCAUCUUCCGACGGUGAGUUAUUUUUUAGCUAUUUUUUGUUUCUACCACCAACUCCUCUCCUAUUCGAGUAUUCUUCCGCGCUCUAUUACUCCCUUUCGACGUGCUAUACACCCAUUAUCGCUAAUUUAACAAUUUCCAUAUCUAUUUUUGUAUAUAUAAAUAUUUAUAGAUUAUAUGUUUUUCAUAUAUAUUUAUUCCAAAAUAAAUUAUUUAUAUAAUAAAUAUUAUUUUAGUCAUAAAAGAUUGUUAUGUAUUAAAAAAAAAGCUUAAAACAAUACAUAUUAAUACUUUAUAUUAUAUAUUGUUAUUAUUUUUCAUAUAUUUUUCUUUUUGAUGAAUCAGAGAUUCAUUAAAUUCAAACAAAAACUUUACAAUAUUGCAGCACAGGGCUGAGUAUAGUUCUCCUUUACAAGCUAUAUUCUUUAAAUUUACAAACCUUCAAACCACUCAUCAUAUAUAUACAAGCAAUUUUCAUAAGAUUAAUACUAUGAAUUCUGCUCUUGACCUCAUGGAUUAUACUGUGUAUCACCACCUCCACUCGUUUGAUUUGAUGGAGCCAUAAUGUUUCUUUUCUAGCCUUCCACACUUGAUACACUAUAGUAGCAACAAUGGCAGUGAUGACUACCUUUUUGAAAUUACUCAACUGUGCUCAGGAAAUCCAUCUUAGUAAUCUGUUUAGAGAAUGUGAUUGAACUAUCUACCCUAGUCGAUUGUUUACCUCUUGGAGACAUCUGUGACUGAAUUGGCAUUCAAAAAACAGAUGCUAAAUAAUUCCUCACCAUGCAUGGCCACAUAGUAAAUAGAUGUUAUAUGCUACAAUGUUGUAUUUAUAAAGCCUAUGUUUUGUUUUUAAUAUGUCAAGCACAACCAACCACAAGAUAUACUAUGCUUUGGCAAGUUGAAUCUCCCCCAUACCUUAUUGCUAGAAUGAACUCGAGAUUUAGGAGGGCACGGUGUCAAGUAACCCUUCUUGAUGGUAUAUUUCUCUCUCUCUUUUGUUUUAUUUUUUUUUAUUUAAUCGUUUAUAUAUUACAACUAUGUUUUACCUGAGACUCGAACCCAGGACCUCCAAGACAGACACACUCACCUAUGACCACUUGAGCUAACCUCAAGUGGUUUGAUGUUACUUUGUGGAACAAUGCAAACUUUAAUGUUACUUUGUGUAGGGCCAGUAUAUGCCCACCAAUCCUCUUCUUUAAUGUAAACAUUGUGUACCAAUUUCACCCAUAAAUUGUCUUUUUUACCUUCAACAACUCACGUAUACACUACAAAAAUAGCUUUUAGUGACAAUUUUUUAGUCACAACAUAAAUUUUUUGUGACUAAAUGUGAUUUUUAGUCACAACAAAAAGUUACUUGUAACUAAAACAUAGUAUUUUGUCACUAAUUUAAUUUUAGUCACAACAAGUAUUAUGACUAAAAACAUAUUUAGUCACAACAAGUAUUGUGACUAAAAACACAUUUAGUCACAAUAAAUUGUAAUUUUUGUGACUAAUACUUUUAGCCACAGACUUUUUAGUCACAACAUAGGAAUAAUGAUUUAUAAUUAGUCACAACUUUUUUACUUUUAGUCACAAAUUUUGUUGUGACUGAAAGUUAAAUUUUUUGUAGUGAUACUUUCCAAUAGUAGCAAUGUUCCAAUUAAGUAUGUUUCAGAAAUCCAAGCCACCCACCUCUUUUGGUUUACAAACCAUCUCCCAAGUUAUAGUUCCCGGACCCAAAAAAUCAGCUUGUCCAUUCCAUAAAAAAGCUCGAUAUAUUGAAUUGAUUCUUUUCAGAAUCAUUUUGGUAAAUUCAUGAUUUGAGACCAAUAAGUUUGUAUAGACACUAGUAUCAAAUUGAUUAGUGUUAUUCUCCUAGAAUAUAACAGAUUUCUGGAGCUCCAAACUCGAAUUCUUGCUACCAUUUUCUCUAGAAAGCUUUCACACUUUUUGACUGAAAUCCCUUUAGCACAUAUAUGGAUCCCCAAGUACUUAAAAGCAAGUGACUUCUGCAAAAACUAGAUGUUUCAAGUAUUCUUUCCACUUCUUACAAUGAAGCCAAAUGUUUUAGAAAAUAAUUUCAAGCCUUGCAACAUGUAGUAAAUAGACUUAAAAUCUCCAUGACUGAACAUAAGAACAUCGCCAACAAAGCUUAAAUGAUUAAGUGCUAAUUCGUCACACCUUUCAUGAAAUUUAAAGUCUAUUUUAUUCCCAAUUUUCCUUAUGAUUCGAGAUAGGUAUUCCAUCUGAUCCUGGGGCUUUGUUGCCUGGUUUAGAAAAGAUUGCCUACUUCACCUCUUUAGUUGUAUAAUCCGCCAGCAACAUUUGAGCUUGUCCCUCUGUUGUGGUGUUUUCAACACGCAAGUAUACGUAUUGUUUUAACAAGUAAUACUCUAAUGAGUGAGAUUGUUUCCAUGGGAACUGUAGCUAUGUACCAAUCAAUUAAAUUCUUGUUUCUAUAUGGCAAUAGAAUAGAUAAAUUUUGAAACUAAAUAAACUAAGCAAAAAUAAAUAAAACAAAACAAAUAAAAGGUUUAACAAUGGAUGUGAAAUUAGAGAUAUUAUUUCAAUUGUAUCUAUCUAUUAUGGUCUAACAUGAUUCAAUUUCUAUUACCAAAUUCUAUGCAAUAGCAGGUUUACUCAAGUAAUUUAUAGUCUUCUCAGAUACAUAAACCUCAAUUAUAUGCAAAUUUUUCUACUCUCGUGAUAAAUUAAAAAUGUAAAAGGCAUUAAACACAAAAACCGUAUAAGCUAUCAAACCACAUAGGUACUCUCGUCUUAUAUCGAAAUUUGUUCCUAUUUCACUAUAGCAUAAUUGACACUCACUUCUUAUAUUUUGUAUCAAAAUCAUAAACAAUUAAUUGAUGGCCAGACAAUUAAAAGAGAUAAGUAUGAAUGAAAUAGAAUACAUUAAAAAUUAGAGGAAAAUUAAAUCACGUUAAAACCAUAAACAGAUGUCAAACAAUAUCCAUCAACACCCUAAUAAAUUGUUUAGCUACUCUUGUUCAUCGUAGUAACUUCACACAUAUCAAUUAAGAAUAAAAGAAGAAAAUAGAGAAGAAAAGAAUGUUAAAAACUUCGAUUAAAAAGCCUUCUCGAUUGAUUUUGCUCUCCGAUUUUUGUACCCCUACAUUGCUUGUUGAAAAAUAUUAAAGUCCCACUCUUUUUAUAGCUAAAAACGAUAAAAAAAAUAUCAUCUUUUUGAAAAUUAAAGGGGAGGGGCGCGGUAUUGAAAUCCUAUGCCGUAGCAUAACACCCCUAAAUUUGGGCAGUGAGCUUUCUACUCCGUCGAUGGAUAAUGUUUCAGCCAUAACUCUUUUAAUAUUACUCGGAAUUGGACGAUUCAAGAUGUUCCGAAAAGCUGAAAGAGAGAUCUAGAACUUUUUUUUUUUUUUUUGAAUUUCUCCAAAAUCUGAUCAAAACAUAGUCUAAUUUACGCUUGAAGUUUCAGGUUUAUUUUCUUACACAAUUUUCUCUAUUUUAUAGAUCAUCUUCUGAAAUUUGACCAAUUUAUACAUUCCAAGUGUUGAACCCUAAAAUUAAAGAAAACAAGCAUAAUUCUAUUCUAAAAAGUGAUAAUGAAGAAGAAAAUUAACUCUAAAAUGACAUAAAUAAUAGGCUAAAAAUAUCAUAACAAAGUCCUCCAAACUAAAUCCUUACUCGCCCUCGAGUAAGACUAACAACUAAAAACUACACAACCUAAAUGAAACAAGUCAAUAAACCAAAACAUGAGCAAUUUUGAAGUAAGAUAAAUAACAUGGUUAUGAAUAAAAAUUUCACCUAUAAUAAUCUAAAAUUUCAGUUCAAUCACACCCUUGAUUCACCUUAAUUUUUUAUUCAGUUCAUUAAACCAUAAUUAGCACUUAACUAAUAGUUCAAACAAUUUUAUGCAUCUAUCAAUCCACUAACCCAAUAUAUUUCAUAAGCUUGCAAUACUUACUAUUAUCCACUAAUAUAAAUCAACGCACAACCAAGAAUCAAAAGGUCUUUCUAGACUUGUAAUGUUAGGCUUAGGUACAGGUAGAUGAAAUGGUUAUUUAAGCUUGCCUAUACUAUAAACUUCUCAAAUCAUGUCACACAAUAAUCUUUUUAUAAACAAUCCUGAUACCCCUUUUUUUUUUCUUAUUCCAUGAGAGAAUUUUUUUUCCGACAAUAUUGCAACCCUUUAUUUUUAUUUCAUUUUUUUUUUUCAAAUUUGACACUUAAUUUCAGAUUUUUUUUAAGUUGUUGCCAAUCAAUUUUUUUUUUUCAUAUUCUCUCAAUUUUCACACUUAUUCCCACACACAUAUAACAAACUUCCCAUCCAAAUUCCCCAAAUUUAAGAUCCACUUAUGGUAUAAGUAAGAUCAAAUUUUGGAUAUUAAUGAGUUUAUUUUGUUUAGGCUCACAAUGUGUAAAAAUAAAGAAUAAGUUAAGACUCAAAAAGGGUAACUAAGAUAAAAAUUAUAAGGAUGACUUGAAAGGCACAAUCGAUUCAAAGAAUGUCUAAAUCGUUUUCCUAGUCAUGCAUUAUUUAUUAUUUCGCCUCAAAUAGCAAGCAAGCAAGUUUUAGAAUUUUUCAAACAUCUUUCCACAUUUCACAAUUAACAUACAUAAACUAAUUCAAUUGCUAGAAAUUUACUUAUUAUGAUUCUAUGUUAUUUCAAAACAUAAAAUUAAAAUUAGUCAAGAAUGCAAUAUCACCAAGCACACCGAUUUUUUAAAAAGUAAAUGACAUUUUCAAACCAUGCUAUCUACAUACUUUUAAAUUGACUCACACAUCUAGAAAAAUUGACUCAAACAACACCAAAAAAAAAAAAAACUAAACUAAACAACUAAACAAUCAAACAAACAACAAAAUUUAAAAUUAAGCCCCUCCCCCAAACUAAACACUACAAAAAAUUGCUACCUUUGGUGAUAACUUUUUAGUCACAACAUAUUUUUUUUGUGACUAAAUGCGACUUUUAGUCACAACAAAAUGUUACUUGUGACUAAAAUAUAGUCUUUAGAUAUAACUUGUCACUAAUUUUAUUUUAGUCACAACAAGUAUUGUGACUAAAAACACAUUUAGUCACAAGAAAUUGUAAUUUUUGUGACUAAUACAUUUUACCACGAAUCUUUUAGUCACAACAUAGGAAUGAAGAUUUAUAAAUAGUCACAACUUUUUCACUUUUAUUCACAAGUUUUGUUGUGACUUAAAGUAAGAUUUUUUGUAGUGAAAACUUUACAUUGUUCCCAAUGUGACAUAAAACCCAAAGAGAGAAAGACUAACCAUGUCACAUCAACAAGCCAUUGACACCUAUAAUAAGUGUCAUGCAAGACAACUUGAAAGUUAUUAUUGUAAUUGCCUUCAAGCUUGGCAUGCGAUGAGUUUGAACCAAAAGCAACGACAACAACAUAAGACUUUGGAUGAUGAGCUUGGGGAGAAGUCUUUCAUAGCACGUAGAGGAUAUAAUAUGGUGGGGAUGGUGUUGAUGGAAAAUAUAGAUCUGUUGGUGGUGUAUAAAUCAAUAUCAUUGAUGAAUUUGAAUCAGUGAUGUCGUGUGCUUCCUCUUCCUCUAAUGUCACAUUUUCUUCACUUUCAUCUAACAACUCUUCUUUUUGUUGCUCAUUCUCCACUUGGCUAUCCAUAACCUUGCUUGGGAUUUCAUAUUUAAUGAUUUCAUGAUCAUGAAUGAAAUUUACUUCAUUCACUACACGACAUUCAUUAUUUUUCAAGUAAGAAUCCGAUUUAGCCCAAUUUUGAGUUAAUACCACUUCAAAAACAACUUGAUCUUCAAUUGUAGGCUCAUUCUCUUCCAUGUAUUCAACUAAUGACACUUCUUCAUUAUUCAAACAACUCUCAUAACUUUCAUUAUUAGAGCUAUUUUUAUUGUUAACGGUGUUAAAUUCUUAGUUGAGGAUCAGGAUGACAAUCAUAACACCCUAAAAUGUGGUAUUUUGGUGCUUGGUGAAGGUUGUCAAAUUUUUUUGACGUACUCGAACAAGUCUACGAGUUGACUUACAUAGAAGAUUGUAGUGUUAUUACUUUUAAAUGCAAGUGGUGGGACAUGACAAACGGUAACCAGACAGAAAGUUAUAGUUUUUUUGCUAGUUUCUGCAUUGCCCGUCAAUGGUACAAAAAUUAACAUUCAUACUUGCAAUCUAAGCAAAUUUGAUAUAUUACAUUUCCAGCCUGAAGAAUAGAGUUGAUUGGAAGCUUGUCAAUGCUCACAACCCCCACAAUGUCUGGGAUUUUACAAAUGAGGAUGAUGAAAAAACCAUGACUAUACAAGAAAUAAACUCUUUCAAAAUCAAGUUAGUCAUACAACUUCUACAACUAGACGAUGUCAAAUAUGUCUUGUACAAUGUCGACCCAACUAAAGUGAUCAGCAUGGACCAUGUCCAGCCUGACCGUAAGAUUUAGAUGAUUUUAUUUUUCAUAGUGAUGAUGAUAACUAGUAUUAAUGAUGAUGAUGAUGAUGAUGCCUUGUACACUUUAACGUAUUGUAAUAUUUAAACCUACCAUUAUUUAUAUAAAAUACAUGUUCCUUUUGUUAAUGAAUUGAUUAGUACUUAUUUUAUUAUUAAUAAAUAUAGCUUGUAUGUGUAGAAUGACUGACGCAGGUACAAGUAAUAGUAAGAAUAAGGGAGUUAGAGGACCUUACAAGGGGAAAUGUGGAAGAAGAACUGACCAAGAUGUCUUCAGGGCAAAAAUUAAAAUUUAGAUGGCAUAUGGGGACUGGGGCCCCAUAGACGACUAUGGGAACAAGUUUAACAACAUGGUCAAGUUCUUUACUCACAACACCAUUCCUAUGAAUAAGUUCAAUUUUAAGGAAAGUUGACAGAAGGAGCAUUUAGACUAUCUGAAACAGACUAGCGUAACAUUCAAUUUUUAUUGUAAUAGAUCAAACAAAACUAUUCUACAAAAAAUAUAUAUGAUUUUAAUAUUUAUCUUUUUAAAUCAAAUUUGACUUCCCACUUGACAAUCCUAAGUUCGUGGACUAUAUUUUGUUAAAUGUCGAAAGGGCUAUGCGAAUGGAGAGCGAACAAGAAAAUGGCAUGAAAGAAUAAUAUUGAGAAAUAUGAAGAGGAAGAGGCGACUAGGAGAUCACGUCCACAGGGGGUCUUACAGGAGGUGUGGUAAGAGGUCAUUGCCUACUGGAAAGACCCGAAACAACAGGCUAAUCUCGAGACAGGAGAACUUCCAAGUUUUGUGGACACUUUUAUAAAGUUCCACUACAAGAACAAUAAAUGGCUCGAUGAACACACUCAACAACUGCAUGCCUAAAUUCUUAAGACGCGUAAAACUCAACCUGCGCCGAAUAAUAUCUCUCGUCAGUAUGAUGUAGACCUCACCCAGUUUCCUACAAACAUGGCUGUUAUGAAACAGAUACUUGGAGAGCGGUUACGCCACUUGAGAGGCAUGAACCAGUUGUCAAGACUUAGGGCAGAGGCCAAAAGGGCAACUCCCAAGCAAGUCUCUUUGGGCCUCCUAUUGUCAGCAUGGAGGAAUAUGAGACGUUGAUGCUAAGAGCGGAAGAGCAAGAAACACGUUACGAGUGGCAACAAUAAAUGAUGCAGAGUCAGAAUCAAUACCUGAAUAUAUUUCAGGAGCAGUUCAAGUAUUUUUUGGCGUCGUUCCUUGCUUCAACAUGCUCGAGAUAGCUCCAAUUCCACUGAUAUGUCCUCCUGGCACAUGUUGUCCCUCCCACCCAGAACAACAAUGAUGACGAUGAUGCUGUUGACUUAUAAUUUUAUUUUUUCUUUACAAAUUUUAUUGUAAAUAUUACUAUUUUCUAUAAACUAAUGACUCUUUAUUUAGUUUUAGAAUUACUUGAAUAUUUUAUAAUUAUAAUAUGAAAUUCUAGUUUAUAAUAC